AGAUUGAACGCUGGCGGCAUGUCUUACACAUGCAAGUCGAACGGCGGCACGGGGGCAACCCUGGUGGCGAGUGGCGAACGGGUGAGUAAUGCAUCGGAACGUGCCCAGUAGUGGGGGAUAACUAGUCGAAAGAUUAGCUAAUACCGCAUACGACCUAUGGGUGAAAGCGGGGGAUUCGCAAGAACCUCGCGCUAUCGGAGCGGCCGAUGUCUGAUUAGCUAGUUGGCGGGGUAAAAGCCCACCAAGGCUUCGAUCAGUAGCUGGUCUGAGAGGACGACCAGCCACACUGGGACUGAGACACGGCCCAGACUCCUACGGGAGGCAGCAGCGGGGGAAUUUUGGACAAUGGGCGCAAGCCUGAUCCAGCCAUGCCGCGUGCGGGAAGAAGGCCUCGGUGUAA
rnacentral:rRNA from 1 species